AAAAGAAGUAACUAAGGGCGUAUGGGGGAUGCCUAGGCUCUUGGAGGCGAAGAAGGACGUGAUAAGCUGCGAUAAGCUGCGGGGAUUGGCACACACAAGUCGAUCCGCAGAUUUCCGAAUGGGGCAACCCACCAGGUUGAAGACCUGGUAUCCGGCAACGGAAGCUAACCCGGCGAACUGAAACAUCUAAGUAACCGGAGGAAAAGAAAACAAAAGUGAUUCCCUAAGUAGUGGUGAGCGAACGGGGAAAAGCCCAAACCUGAUGAGUUACGGCUCGUCAGGGGUUGUAGGACUGCGGCGUGGUAUUGUCAAGCGAAGUUAAAUCAUUUGGGAAAAUGAGCCAUAGCGGGUGAGAGCCCCUUCAACGUAAGCGCGACAGACCCAGCAGGAUCCUGAGUAGGCGGGAACCGGAGAAAUUCCCGUUGAAACUGCCGGCACCAUCCGGUAAGGCUAAAUACUCCCAAGAGACCGAUAGUGAACCAGUACCGUGAGGGAAAGGUGAAAAGCACCGCACAUAGCGGGGUGAAACAGACUCUGAAACCAUACGCUUACAAGCGGUCGGAGCCCUUAUGUGGGGUGACGGCGUGCCUUUUGCAUAAUGAGCCUACGAGUUAUCUUUGUUAGCGAGGUUAAGCAGUUGAGCUGCGGAGCCGGAGCGAAAGCGAGUCUGAAUAGGGCGUAUAGUUAGCGGAGAUAGACGCGAAACCUUGUGAUCUACCCUUGGCCAGGUUGAAGAUGUGGUAACACACAUUGGAGGACCGAACCGGUAAACGUUGAAAAGUUUUCGGAUGAGUUGAGGGUAGGGGUGAAAGGCUAAUCAAACUGGGAAAUAGCUCGUACUCCCCGAAAUGUUUUUAGGAACAGCCUCGUAAUAGUGUAACGGAGGUAGAGCUACUGAUAGGACUAGGGGGCUUCGCGGCCUACCAAAUUCUGACAAACUCCGAAUGCCGUUAUAUGUUUUACGGGAGUGAGGGCAUGGGUGCUAAGGUCUGUGUCCGAGAGGGAAAGAACCCAGACCAUCUGCUAAGGUCUCGAAGUAUAUCCUAAGUUGAACAAAGGUAGUUUUGUUGCUGAGACAGCCAGGAGGUUAGCUUGGAAGCAGCUAUUCCUUUAAAGAGUGCGUAACAGCUCACUGGUCGAGCGACAGGGCAUCGAUAAUAAACGGGCAUCAAGGGUAUCACCGAAGCAAUGGAUUUGCAUAUAUGUGCAAGUGGUAGGGGAGCAUUCUAAUUUGGGCGAAGGUGGGCCGUAAGGCCUGCUGGACGGAUUAGAAAAGCAAAUGUAGGCAUAAGUAACGAUAAUGAAUGUGAGAAACAUUCACACCGAAAGACCAAGGUUUCCCGGGCAACGUUAAUCGCCCCGGGGUUAGUCGGGUGCUAAGGUGAAGCCGAAAGGCGCAGCCGAUGCCGAAUGGGUUAAUAUUCCCAUACUGGCUUAUUGAGCGAUGGGAGGACGGAGUGAUGCAACAUCCGCGCCCUUACGGAUUAGGGCGUUAAAGGCAGUAGGUAUAGGUCCGGCAGGCAAAUCCGCCGGACUUGCCGAAGCUGAAAGUACUGCAAUCCUUCGGGAGCGCAGAGAGCGAUGUGAAGGGCUUCCAAGAAAAGUCUCUAAGCAAUUGAUAAGCCACCCGUACCGCAAACCGACACAGGUGGUUGGGAUGAGAAUUCUAAGGUGCUCGAGUGAAUCACGGCUAAGGAACUCGGCAAAAUAGUCCUGUAACUUCGGGAGAAGGGACGCCUCCUCAGCAAUGAGAGGCCGCAGAGAAAUGGCCCAGGCGACUGUUUAACAAAAACACAGGGCUUUGCAAAAUUGAAAGAUGACGUAUAAGGCCUGACACCUGCCCGGUGCCGGAAGGUUAAGAGGGGGCGUUAGGAGCAAUCCGAAGCGCUGAAUUGAAGCCCCGGUAAACGGCGGCCGUAACUAUAACGGUCCUAAGGUAGCGAAAUUCCUUGUCGGGUAAGUUCCGACCUGCACGAAUGGUGUAACGAUCUGGGCGCUGUCUCGGCCGUGAGCUCGGUGAAAUUGUAGUAGCGGUGAAGAUGCCGCUUACCCGCAACGGGACGGAAAGACCCCGUGCACCUUUACUAUAGCUUCGCAUUGAACUUGUCUACAAGAUGUGUAGGAUAGGUGGGAGACUGUGAAGUAGUGUCGCCAGGCAUUACGGAGUCGCCGUUGAAAUACCACCCUUUUUGUAGUUGAGUUCUAACUCAGAAAUGGGGACAUUGCGUGGUGGGUAGUUUGACUGGGGUGGUCGCCUCCAAAAAGGUAUCGGAGGCUUCCAAAGGUACCCUCAGUACGGUUGGUAAUCGUACGUAGAGCGCAAUAGCAUAAGGGUGCUUGACUGUGAGACCAACAAGUCAAUCAGGUAGGAAACUAGGGUAUAGUGAUCCGGUGGUUCUGCAUGGAAGGGCCAUCGCUCAUAGGAUAAAAGGUACGCCGGGGAUAACAGGCUGAUCUCCCCGAGAGCUCACAUCGACGGGGAGGUUUGGCACCUCGAUGUCGGCUCGUCACAUCCUGGGGCUGGAGAAGGUCCCAAGGGUUGGGCUGUUCGCCCAUUAAAGUGGCACGCGAGCUGGGUUCAGAACGUCGUGAGACAGUUCGGUCCCUAUCUGUUGUGGGCGUAGGAAGUUUGAGAGGUGCUGAUCUUAGUACGAGAGGACCGGAUUGGACGAACCGCUGGUGUAUCAGUUGUGCCGCCAGGCGCAUUGCUGAGUAGCUAUGUUCGGAUUGGAUAAGCGCUGAAAGCAUCUAAGUGCGAAACCAACCUCAAGAUGAGACUUCCAUAGAGGGUCGUCAUAGACGAUGACGUUGAUAGGCUGCAGGUAUAAAGCCGGAGACGGCAAAGCCGAGCAGUACUAAUUACCCGAUAACUUCUUUUAA
rnacentral:rRNA from 1 species